rnacentral:rRNA from 1 species
GACGAACGCUGGCGGCAUGCCUAAUACAUGCAAGUCGAACGAACCAUCCUGAAGAUUGAAGCUUGCUUCAUGAUUCAGACCUUGGUGAGUGGCGGACGGGUGAGUAACACGUGGGUAACCUGCCCAAAAGUGGGGGAUAACAUUUGGAAACAAGUGCUAAUACCGCAUAACAACUACUUUCACAUGAUCGUAGCUUGAAAGAUGGCUCUGCUAUCGCUUUUGGAUGGACCCGCGGCGUAUUAGCUAGUUGGUGAGGUAAUAGCUCACCAAGGCAAUGAUACGUAGCCGACCUGAGAGGGUAAUCGGCCACAUUGGGACUGAGACACGGCCCAAACUCCUACGGGAGGCAGCAGUAGGGAAUCUUCCACAAUGGGCGAAAGCCUGAUGGAGCAAUGCCGCGUGAGUGAAGAAGGUUUUCGGAUCGUAAAACUCUGUUGUUGAAGAAGAACAUGCGUGAGAGUAACUGUUCACGUACUGACGGUAUUCAACCAG